GGGUCAUUUCUUAUCUUUUUGAUAUAAGCCAUUCUGCCCAGUAUGAGAUAUUGAAGCAUCCUUUCAUCACUGGAAUAAAACCUACUUGAUUCUGUAAUCUCUACACCAAAUGUGGAGCUCGAACUCAUGACCCGAGACCAAGAGCUACACGUUCUGACUGAGGAAGCCAGGUGAACAGCUACUUCUGCUAAUCUUGAAGGAAUGGCCUAACUUAGAAACGUUCCCUGUGUAGACUGCAUGUGCUUGGUGGCUUUGGCUGACAGGCCAGAGCUAAGGUGGUCAGUCUGUCCUUUGUCAAGAAAAGCUGUUCAGUCAGCCUCAAUUCAGUAGUAGGAGACUGACUGCUGUGUAGGUUGAAAUUUAACAGCCUGUUGGGGCUGAGAAGCCAAGCUAAAUACUUGCCAUCGGUCUUUCCUGUGAUACCUAUCAAUUUGACUUAUUUCCUCUCUUCUUGAGGUCCCUUGGAGUUCUUGCUCUUUUUAGGAAGUGCCCUUCUUCAAUCACUUGGGAGAAGAGAUUCUCAUUGAACUUCUGCAAAUAACUAUGUUGCCAUGAAUAUAAGAAUGCUCACUCAGAGUUUCUGAAUUCUGGAGGGAUCAUAGGAGGAAGCAAAAGAUAAAUGUUUCAAUUCUAUUUACAAAGGUGUAAUUUACCAAAAUGAUGUUAAGUCUUAGUUAGCUUAAGAGGAAAGGUUUUCUUAUAUCUGGAACACAAAAGAUUAAAGAACCAGCAAUAUUGUGAACAA